rnacentral:rRNA from 1 species
UCGGGAAUCUUGCGCAAUGGGCGAAAGCCUGACGCAGCAACACCGUGUGAGCGAUGAAGGCUUUCGGGUCGUAAAGCUCUGUUUGCGAGGACGAAGGGCGAAGGGUUAAUAGCCCCUAGCCUGACGGUACUUGCACAGAAAGCCCCGGCUAACUACGUGCCAGCAGCCGCGGUAAUACGUAGGGGGCGAGCGUUGUCCGGAAUCAUUGGGCGUAAAGGGCGUGUAGGCGGUCUGGUAAGUCUGCUGUGAAAUCCUGGGGCUCAACCCCAGGCUUGCAGUGGAUACUGUCAGACUAGAGGAUGGUAGAGGCGAGUGGAAUUCCCGGUGUAGCGGUGAAAUGCGCAGAUAUCGGGAGGAACACCAGUAGCGAAGGCGGCUCGCUGGGCCAUUCCUGACGCUGAGACGCGAAAGCUAGGGGAGCGAACAGGAUUAGAUACCCUGGUAGUCCUAGCCGUAAACGAUGGGCACUGGGUGUGGGGGGAGUCGAAUCCCUCUGUGCCGAAGCAAACGCGUUAAGUGCCCCGCCUGGGGAG